rnacentral:lncRNA from 10 species
GAGUCCCGGAGCGGUGAGCGGCGCCGUCGGGACCCUCGGCCUGCGCGGCAGGAAGAGGCGGCCACCGCGGAACCACGCACCGCUCAGGAGUGAGUUCGCCCGAGCCACGGAGUUCCUGUUCAGUCUUUUGCAGAAGACGCUGAGACAGAAAGGUCAGUCUGGGCCCCAGUCCCUGGUUCCUGGUGAGCUUCCCAUCACCCCCCACCUCCCUGCGUGCCCAGAUCGGCAUUGCAUCUGGAGCGUUCCGAAGAGAAACACAACCUGGGGGCGUUGGUAACAGCAGGUGAGACAGCCUUGUCCUGCGCUGCUGUGCGGUGUUGCAUCCACUAGAAAGGGGCCUCCUGUUCUGACCCUGGCCCCUGCCCUUGAGAUGCAGCUGGCAUGUCC